GAGAGACUUUUGACAAACUUUAGAUGUAACAAAAGGAACCUAAUAUUACUUGUUGAUUGCAACUGGUGUACAAACACUAAGGAGACUCUGAUCCGUGUGUUGCAUGAUUGCCCUUAUGCAUCACAUAUCAACAGAAUCACAUUAAGUCUUAAGUUAGCCACUAACAGAAAAAAAACAAUAAUAAUUAAACAAUGACACCAGAAAUUAUUUUACCAAAAGAUUGCUGGGAAUAUAUCUUCACACUCCUCAACGACGGCGAUGACGACGGAAACAACCGUUUCCUAACCGUACACUCUCUCUCCGCCGUCUCCAAACAGCUACUCUCCUUAACCGGCCGUCGAAAACUCCAUUUCACAAUCUCAAACCAAACCGUCCCUUUCCUUCCCAGUCUCCUCCGCCGCUUCUCCAAUCUCACCUCCAUCGACCUCACCCGCUUCCGCGGUAACCUCGAUGCGAUUCUCUACCAAAUCGCCGCUCUCCAAUUACCUCUCAAAUACAUCAAUAUCUCUAACCGUCCCACAAUUCCCGCAAAUGGGUUGCGAAUUUUGGGUAGAAAGAUCAAAACUUUAACCUCGUUGAUUUGUUCUCAUGUUGGUUCUAUCUUUAAAUCUGACCUAAUUGUUAUUGCUGAUUGUUUACCUUUGCUUGAGGAACUUGAUCUUAGUUUUCAUCAGUUUAUUGAUAUUGGUGAUUUUGGUAUAGAUUCUCUUUCUUUAGCACUUCCUAAACUUCGUAAGGUUAAUCUCUCUGGUAGUUUCUAUAUUAAGGAGGUUUCGGUUUUUUAUCUUUGUAAAAACUGUAAAUUUAUUGAAGAGGUUGUUAUGUUUCGAUGCACAUUCGUAAUCAAAGAUGGUGUUGAUUCUAAGCUCGGUGAUAAACCAAAAAUUAUUCAGUAUCCAGGAUGGUUUGGGGAAGCUUUUGCUCCAAGGAGCUUGUCUGCAACCAUUGCCAAAACUAAGAGAAUACAAAAGUUCUGCAUUUCGGUUUUAACGAAAAGGAAGAAGAUCUAGCUUUGCCGAACCUUGUCCUCCAAGGAUACAUCAUUCACCUAUAAUUGAAAUAGGAAGAUCUAUCUUUGAUCAAGCUUGUUCUCCAGAGGAGCUUCAACUAUAGAGUCUAGAGACAUUAGUUGCUGUAGGAUGCUUACAGAUUCAGUUUUCUGUGGAAUGCAUUCAUGGAAAAGAAUUUUUUUAUUGUUUUCUUACUAUUUUGAAAGUACUCUGCUAAAGUAUGAAAUGCACGAUUUGUCGGUGUCGAACACAUGUAGUUAGUUACAUUCAUUAAUUUUAAUUUUUAAUAUAUUUAGCAUUUUUGUGAUAUUAAAUUUUAAAAUGAUAAAUUUUAUAGAUUAGUCAUUUGAUAAAAGAAAUAUUUUGAUGACACUAAUUUAUUAAUGUAUAUCUCAUUCACACUUGCAUUAACUUCACUUCUCUCUCAAACACUAAUUUAGGUGUUUGAGCGUUGAACUUGUAGAUAUUUCAUCGUUGAUCACCAAAGAACUCAACUUUCGUAUUAGGCAUGGCAACAGGGCGGGGCGGGGACAGUUUUUACCUCCCCCAAACCCAAACCCGAAUCUCCAAUCAAUCCCCGUUACCCGCCCCAAACCCAAACGGGGAUGGGGAAUUAAAACCCAAACCCGUCCUUAACAGGUUCGGGUUGGGUUCGGGUAUCCCCGCCCCGCCACCAUGUAUUUCGUAAAAUCAAUUUUUUUAAUAAAAAUAUUUACUUUUUCAAAAACCAAAUUACAUUAUAAAUAACAAAAUAAAAAAAUCUCAUACAUAUAUUUCAAAUAUUUAAAAUAAUAAAUACAAAUCAAAUUAUUAAAACAUUAGCCACAUAUUUAAUAAUAUAAAUUAUGAAAUAUAAAUAAUAAUGUACAUAUUGAAAUAAACGGGGCGGGUUCGGGGUGGGUACUAGUGUCCCCAUUACCCGACCCAUCCCUAUGUUUUCUAAUCGUGGAAAACCCAAACCCGAACACAAACCCAGUCAAAGCGGGUUUUCCCCGUCAACUUCGGGGCGGGUUCGGGUGGGUACCCGUUGGUCUGGGUUUUAUUGCCAUGCCUAUUUCGUAUAAACAAUUUUCAAAUAGCUUUUUUUUAAAAACAUUUUGAACACCUAAAAUUUUAAGAAAAACUUACUCUCAAGACGCAAAUACUCACCACUAGAUUCCACACAAAUACAGUAUUCCCUCCGUCCCACAAUGAGUGACCCAUUUGGAAUAAAAUGGUGUCCCAAAAUGAAUGACCCAUUUCAAUUUCUAAUACACUUUUUUCAAAUUUACCCUCUAAUUAAUAAAAGUUUCAUCAUUUCCAAUACAUAAUAAGGGUAUUAAAGUAAAAAUAUUAUUCUCUCUCUUACUUUUAACUACUUUUCUCAAUAUGUGUGAAAUGGUGGGCUGGGUCACUCAUUUUGGGACGGAGGGAGUAUGUUUCAAUUUUGGUGAGUUGGGCAGAUAUUUUUCUAGGUGAAUUUACGACCUAAUUAACUCAAACUAAAUGAAUAUGAAUAUCCAAAUAGGAUAUGAAAACUUCUUUUGUCCCAAAAUUGGUAGAAUAUUUCAUUUUGAUUUAAAAAUCGAUGUAACCAAUCUCAACCACAUACUAGAAUUAUUCUGUCUCAUUAUUUACCACCAUACCCACGUGAGGGUAAGGUUAAAGUCUUAUCAUGAUAUGAAUGAUUAAUUUCAUCAACAACAGCUACAACCCAAAAGUUUAAAAAUGAUACCUAACCUAACUAUCUAUUCUCUUAAUCUAAGGUCAAAGUCUUUAGUCUUUUCAUUCUUUCUUCACUUCACUUGACUUUGGGUUGAAGGGUAGAUUCCAAAAAGUGAAUACAUUAAAUAUGAA